rnacentral:rRNA from 1 species
ACUCCUACGGGAGGCAGCAGUGGGGAAUAUUGCACAAUGGGCGCAAGCCUGAUGCAGCCAUGCCGCGUGUGUGAAGAAGGCCUUCGGUUGUAAAGCACUUUCAGUCGUGAGGAAGGUAGUGUAGUUAAUAGCUGCAUUAUUUGUACGUUAGCGACAGAAGAAGCACCGGCUAACUCCGUGCCAGCAGCCGCGGUAAUACGGAGGGGUGCGAGCGUUAAUCGGAAUUACUGGGCGUAAAGCGCAUGCAGGUGGUUUGUUAAGUCAGAUGUGAAAGCCCGGGGCUCAACCUCGGAAUAGCAUUUGAAACUGGCAGACUAGAGUACUGUAGAGGGGGUAGAAUUUCAGGUGUAGCGGUGAAAUGCGUAGAGAUCUGAAGGAAUAACCGGUGGCGAAGGCGGCCCCCUGGACAGAUACUGACACUCAGAUGCG